CUGAGGGGGAGACGUCAGCCAAAAGCUUUCACGUGUCCAGGUCCGAGGGGACCAAACCAGAGAGCUUGAGCUCUGAGACCGCAGUUUGGAGACAGUUGAGCGUCGUGUGCUUCCGGGCAGGAGGCUCACUCUCUGUAAAGGCAGCAGGUGCAUCAGGCUGCAGCCUGGGAAGUGGGGCUUCCAGAUUCUACUGCGAAAAGAGAGCGUGAUUGACAAACACGGAGCCUCCCGCACGCAGGGUUCGUCUUCCUGGUGUUCCAUGGCAGUCUCCAUCGGAAUGUGUUCACCACGUACACUAAGGGUCAUUUUUCAGCCAAAAGGCAUUUCUUCAUCGUUUCUGUCGGAUGGGAAUGCGGACCUUUGGAAGGUUUUUGUGCAUAAUGGUGAUGAGUCUGGGGAAAUGGAGCACCUCCUGGUGUUAGACGCAAAGUCGGCCAAUAUUUUGAGUCCUUGCGUGAAGAACACAAGGGAGUUGCUGGCCUCGGCGGCUCGUCCGGUCAACAUGGCUCCUACCACUGGACUCAGCUCAACCAGUGCUCAGUGGUCACACUCGGUGUGCUUAGCACUUCUAGAGGCAGCGGAAGAAAUCAACGUGAAGAUGACCUCGAUCUUCCUGAAGCAAGGAUUCAAGCAGCAUUCCUAGGAAACCACUCACUGCGGCCAGCAUGUCCUGCUGCAGCCCAGCUCCAUUCCUGUCCUUCUGUGGGCUCCCGUAGGGCGGGGCUGAAGCAUGGAAACUACGCCCGGCACUGGUCUGCUGGCUGGCUCAUCUUCAGUAGAGAGAAUCAACACUUCACCGUGUUUCUUCCUUUGAAUCACACAUUUUGUCUACACAUCUGAUCUCCAGCAGGCUUUUGAAGUCAGUCCUGGGGACUUUAAGCCACAGGAUCAAGACUCCUUAAGCAAAAAGUUGGUUUUGUUUUCAAGAGGAACGUCUAGGCUCCUGGAAAAGUGAGGCCCAGACUGAUUGAAUGAUCUUCCUGUGGGCACACAGCUGCCGACGCUGACGCUAACCUGUGCUGUAAAGUGGCCGUACGCCGGGCACCCUGGAGGGCUUCGUGUGCUCCGUGUCCUUUAACCAUCAGAUCCGUCUCAGGGCCUGUUUUAGUCAUGUUCCCAUUUGCAGAGGAGGGAACUUCUCCGGAGGGUAGGAUGCUUUCUCAGGGAGACACAGGAGCA
ensembl:lncRNA